rnacentral:lncRNA from 1 species
CAGAUAACAGAAAUCUACAACAUAUUUCUCAAUCAAAAUGAAGACAUUCGGCAUGUACUAGCAGAACCAAUUCAAACUGGAACAAAGAUGGGGCGAGUGGACAUUGCCUUUUCCUCCAAGGAUUGGUUUGACAUCUUAUAAUCACUUUAUAUAACAGCCAUUCUCCCAGUAAAAAGUGAAAAACCAGAGGAAGAGGUCUUGCUUCAUCCAACUCCACUGAUUUUGGCUUUGAGAGAAUAUAGCUUUAAGAAGGUAUUCCCGGGAAUAUCCCAGGAACUCUAUCCACCCCCUCAGAAUAGUAGGCAAUUGAGUUAGUGAUGGUGACUCAGGCAGGCUUUUUCAUCCUGAUCUAAAGGAACCACUACAACCCUAGAGAGAGAAAUAAAAAGGGAAUCGAGUGGAAAAGGCCUCCACCACCGAUGACUCAUGCUCUACUGUGACUCGCCUGGCACAUCACUCUGUGGCUAAGACAUGGAGGCUUGGUUCAUUAGUCACUUCAGUGAUUUUUUCAAAGCAAGGAUUCUCCCUCUAAAUAAUCAUGAGCUCUGCUUCCACAGUGUUUGUAUGUGAGCUUAUGACUCACCUUUCCACCAUGCCAGGCAGUACCAAUUGUGUCAUCUGCAAGAGAGAAAGCAAAACAUUCAUGAUGGCCGAGGAUGCAGGCAACAGAAAAAGAGUGAAGAAAACUCACCCACACUAAAAAGAAGGGAAUCAUGAAACCAUUCACCACUUCUACAGACAGCAGGUUAUUUUCUGUACACUGUAGAAUGUGACUGUGUCAAGAGGGCAUAAAAAGGAACCAGCUGAAAUUACUGGAGAGAACACAGGGAAUACUUUAAUGAACUUGGCUAAAAUUCGUCUUGCCUGAAAUGUAAUACUGGCACAGAGUUCUUCAAACAAUGAAGGAUUUACAGUGAAAAUCUACAUUUCCCAAAAUGCAUUCUCAGAAAAGAAUAUAUGUUAUCAGAAGAAAUAUCCUGCCUACCAAGAUGACUUAAGCUUUCUAACCUCAAGAGCUCACAUAAACUUUUCCAGCCAAAAAAAGUCUUUAAAAGAAUACCAUAAAGUGGUAGGUUGGCAAAGAAAUAUUCUGAAGAAAUAAAAUGCCAGCCAGAUUUAACAAGGUAAAUUCUGCUAUGUGGACAUCCAAUCCAGAUGUAUCAUGAACAGCUUUGUAUGGUAGUACAGAUGUACAUCAGGCAUAUUAACAGUGGUGGGUAUUUUAUUGUAAAGGAUAGAUUAUACAAAACCCUAACAGUAUUUGAAAACUUUUUUUUUUUAUUUAGCACAUUUCAUCAGGGACCAUAAUGCUUAGCUAAAGUAUUAUAAAGAGUUCCCCCAGCAUUUUGUGAAGGGAAGCUAUAAUUCAGUUCUCCAAAGUCCUGAGAUCACCAGAAACAGAAUAAGGAAGGAGACUGGUAAUAAAAAUGUCUUUACCCAGGUGUGUGUGUGUCUGUGUGUGUGUCUGUGUGUGUGCGUGCGCAUUUGUAUUAAGGAAAUGAGAUCUGUUAACUAUAAAGCAGCUAAGUGGAGUCCAGAAGAGGUAGCCACUGCCUGUUUGGCUCUCUUAAACAGUCCCUCUUCUAUUUCCAGUUGGAAUAUUGGGGGCAGGGAGAUGGGGGAAUAUCAGGAGCUAUUUUUUCCCUUAUACCAUAUGCAUGUCACGUAUAUAUUAAAUGUCUGCUUUCUGAAUGG